rnacentral:rRNA from 1 species
GCCCGAUCUCGUCUGAUCUCGGAAGCUAAGCAGGGUCGGGCCUGGUUAGGAUCUUGGAUGGGAGACCACCUGGGAAUCCCGGGU